AUGUCAGCACCUUUUAGGGUAAAGGAGGAAGGAAUCCUAACUCAUUAGCCAAUCAGGCUCUGAGGCCACUUCCCAAAGCGACUUCCUGUCUCUCCUCUUUCUCUCUCUCCGUUUUGGUGGUGGGCUGCAGGCCUUUAUUUCAAGCCAGCAUUGGACUGUGUGUAAGAGGCAAGGUGAUUAAUCUUGGCUGUGUGGAGACUGGAGGAAGGCAGUGAAAUGCUCUGCCUGGCUUGUUUCCACGUGGGCCUCUGCAGUCCUGGGUCUGCCUUCCUUCCUUGAGAACUGGUGACCCAGAACAACAGAUUCUGCUUCAUAUACAGAGUGCCUGUGUUCCUGAAAAAUGCCUGGAGGUUGAAGAUGGAAUCCACUGAGGAAGGCAGGCCUAGGUCUUCAGCAUCCUGUGUGCCAGUCCAGAAGUGGCACUGUGGAAGCCUCUAUAACAUCUGCGGCAGACCCCCUAAAAAUCAAGGGCCUGGGUCUGAACAUUCUCAGUAGGAAUGGUUAAAGGCUGAUGGGACCAUACAGGCAAGUACUUGAACUUUGACCAAGAUAUGAUGCCUUAAAGUGUUCUCUGUAUCACAUAUAUGUGUCUUUUCCAUCUAAAAAAGAUAGGAGGUUCUUUGAGUUACCAUUGUAUCUCAUAAUGCUGGAUACACAUUUGGCACUGAGGAAACUGGAAUGGAGCUAGGUAAAACUGAGUGGUAACAUAAUCUUAAAAUGGAAGCGUCAGCUGAUUGAGUAUUAUCAAUUUGCAGUUUGUAUCAGGCCUUCAUGAAGCAUCUGUUCACAUACUUAAAAUGUACCUAUUGGCCAUAAGCACCAGUACUUUGAAGCAUUUACUAGUGCCCACAGGGAACAAAAUGAGUGGGUCAUUGGUUGUUACGGGGUAUUUAUAAAAUAUUUACUUUAGCUCCCUAAAUAAUUCAGUAUAUGAAAUGGCCUUCAUGCAGUAGAAUGACACUUGCUGAAGCAUGACUAGAAUCCUGUAGGGAGCAUCACACAUUGGGAAAGGCAUCAUAUACUUCAUAUUAGGAUUUAUGUGCUAGGCUUUGCGCUAUGUGCCAAGGACACAAAGACCAGGCCCUUUGCAGUCUGGGUUUUGUUUGUUAGAUGAGACAAAUAGAGAAGUUGCACCUUUAAAUCAAUAAUUAUUUUCCUGUAAGAAGUACUUGGAUCAUGGAGUUUUGAGGUAGACAUUGUUAAAACUAUGGAAACCUCUAACUUCAUAUCUUGCUUCCUGUCUACGUUUCCUUAGUUAAUCUCACAUGCUGUUGAUUUGGAAACAUUUUACAUAAUUAAACAUUGUUCAAGUAUAAGACAAGAAAGGAGUAAAAUAACAGAUUAUAUCUCUGGGUUCCUUAAAACACCUCAGUUUCUUUCUGACCUACUGAGCCCAUAUGUCAUUCUUAAUACAUUCUAAGCAAACCAUCUUCUGUAGCUCUCCUUAUUUCACGUAGGUAGUGGCACCGUGAAUUGAAAAUAUGGAGUUUUGACAGAAUGAGGUUUAAAUUCUAGCUCUUAAUAGCUAGGCGACCUUAAGAAAUUCAUUUAACUUCUCUGAGCCUCAGAUUUGCUCGUAAAUAUGAGGUUGUUGUAAAGUUUGACUGAAAUGAUUUCUAUAGUUCUUGACAGAUAAUAGGGAUUUUUAAGAAUGAUUACCACUUCCUUUCUGUCAGCUUAUUUUAGUUAUACCCAUCCUUUAAGGCACUCCUGUCCAACAGAACUUUCUGUGAUGAUGGAAAUGUUCUAUAUUUGUACUGCCCCGUAUGAUAGCCAUUAGCCACGUGGGGCUCUUGACCAAUUAAAAUGUGACUGGGGUGACUGAGGAAUUUAACUUUUAUUUAAAUGGCAGCAUGUGGUGUUACCUAUUGGAAAGUGCGGUUUUUUUAAUUGAGAUAUAAUUGACGUAUAACAGUUUCACUUCUACAACAUAAUGAUUCAAUAUUUGUAUAUAUUGUGAAAUGAUCACCAUAAUAAGUCUAGUUAAGAUCCAUCACCACACCUAGCUACAAAUUUUUUUCUUCUGAGAACUUUUAAAAUCUACUCUCAGCAACUUUCAAAUAUAUAAUACAGUAUUUUAAGUGCAAUUUUAAGUCUCAUUCAAGACCCAUCUUCUUUCUUCAUGAAGUGUUCCUUGACCAAUGAUUCUUCUUUUCUUAACAUUUCAUAACUUGCUCUCUCACUUAUUUGGUACUUACCAUGGACAUUAGUUUUCAUGAAGCAUGUCUUUCUAGCUAGAUUGUAUUUAGGUUAUGGAUUUUUAAAUCUCCACAUUGCUACAUGAAAAGGAAUGUGACAAAAGUAUAACUAAUAUUUUUAGUUAAUAAGUUUUAAAUGAUCCUUAAAUGUGAUAGAAAAAAAAUUCUAGUUAGUAAUUAGGUGAAGAAUAGGGAAUAGUCUGAAGGUUGCUUGCAGGGAUGAACUUCAUGUCCAGUCUGUUUCACCUGAAAGUUCAGAUUACAUUCAAACUCUGGAAGAGGAAAUGAAAGCUGCUUUCUUAUAUUGCCGUCUUGUGGCUGACUUGGGCUCCAGAUGAUGCUAAUUCAAUUUUGCUAUGUCAAGGGAAGAUUUUCUUUAAUUUAUCGUGAUAAAAGUUUACCAAGAGUAAAGGUUAAAUGCAAUCUGCAUUAGCUCAAAUGAAAUUGAAAUAUGUUUGAAAAAAAACUUACUAUUUUGGAUUACCUUCUCAUUUAUCUGAAUUUUAUGAGUUCUUGGCUCCGGCCUUCCUCCCCUACCCCUGCUUUAUUUUUUUUAGGAUUUCGUGAAUUUGAUGACUGGUUACAAGUGUUUUCUGCAGUCACAUACCCCAUGCACUUGGAGAGGCUGGCAGUAAUCCAUGCCAUUUUUGCCCCGUCUCCCUGAAUUUGUUCCCAUGGUUUCCAAGCUCUGGUUGCCACCAGCACCUGGCUCCUUCCUUUUGCGUACCUGUUCUCUUAUUGUGAGACUGUUGACUUUUAUAAACGUUCAGAGAUUGGUUAGAGUUACAGUACAGUUUUACCCAAACUUUUAAAUUUAUGCCAAAAGCUGAGCUUUUGCAGAAGUCACACCUUAAUCUAAUGACUUUGGGAAUUAGGUGACAUUCUCUAAAUAGAUGGGUCAAUUUAUGUUACUGAAUGGAGAUUCAAAUAAAGAAUGAACAGUUUUCCUUGAGGUUAAUUUUCCUCGAGGCUGUGUGGGUAUGGCUUGGUGUGGAGUGGGCCAGUGCGCAUUUAAGUCUUCUAAUCAUAACCUUUGUGUAUUUUUUAACUUACUAUUUUUUUAUUUUCCAGAAAUGAUGCUAGGUAGCUGAUAGAUCUGUAGUUCAACUUGAUUCCUAGAUAGAAGCUGGAUUCAUCUAAUACCAGAAGUAAGUGUAAAAGAAAACCUUCAUUUUUACCUCAUUUGGAUUUCUAAUCAUCUAGCAAGUUUUGGUGCUCAGUGUUCUCUGUGGCUGAAAUUUGGUAGUUGAAGAAGCCUUAGUUCUAUCUUAACAGGGUUUUCCUGGUUUAGGGACAAGUAGUAGGCAGUGGUUUGCCCUUUACCAGUCAGUCAUUUGUAGUUUGCCAUGAUGAAAUGCAUGUUAAGUCCGUGUUUCAGCUGAUGACCCUGAUUAAACACAUGCUCUGAGCAGACUAUAGCUAGGGCAAACACUUGGAAUUGAAUUCUGCUUCUUGGAAUUCUUACUGGGAUCUAGGCCAUGAUCCCAGGGGAUUCUUAAAUCUUUGAAUCAUGAAUUUGAUACAAUACUUUGUUGUGCCUUGAUCUUUUGUGAUAUCUCUUUGAGAUAGAACUAAGGUCAAGAAUCCUUAAUCUAAAAAUUCAAACACUACAGAUAAAACACUGAUAACUGGUAGAAUUCUGUCAACACUUAUCUUGGCAGUUUUUAAACUAAUCAUUAUUUUAUUAGUUUAUAUAUAAGAUUAAGAGGAUCUUAGAGUUGGUUAAAUCAAUUUUUGUCAAGCUCAUAUAAUGCAACACUAUAUGGUUGCUUAAAAGUUAUAAUACAGGUUUAUCUUUCUUGGAAUGGAAGGGUAUUCAUGAUACAUUAAGUUAAAAACAAGUUAUAGAGCAAUAUGUAUAAUCCCUUUUCUGCUUAAACAUUUUUAUACAGUUAUGUUUACUUGAGAAAUCGUCUGAAAGGAUAUAUAGAUGAUCCCCAACUUAUAAUGGUUCAACUUAUGAUUUUUCGACUUUACAAUGGUGCAAAAGUCAUAUGCAUUCAGUAGAAGUCACACUUCAAAUUUUGAAUUUUGAUGUUUGCCUGGGCUAGUGAUAUGCAGUUCAAUACUCUCAGUGAGUUGGAGCUCCCAGUUAGCCAUGCCAUCAUGAGGGUAAAGAACUUACACACUUAACAACCAUUCUUUACCCAUACAACCAUUCUGUUUUUUACUUUCAUUACAGUUUUCAAUAAAUUACAUGAGAUAUUCAACACUUUAUUAUAAAAUAGGCUUUGUGUUAGAUGAUUUUGCCCAACUGUAGGCUAAUGUAAGUGUUCUGAGCACAUUUUAGGUAGCCUGGGCUAAGCUAUGAUGUUCAGUAGGUCAGGUGUGUUAAAUGCUUUUUCAACUUAACAAUAUUUUCCACUUACAAUGGGUUUAUCAGGACAUAUCCCUAUUGUAAGUUGAGGAAGAUCCGUACUCAGAUAGUAGGGAUUAUUGUCCUAGAGUUGGGCUAUUGGUAAUCUUGUUAACCUGAAUUUUCUGACUUUAUUAUAUUCACAUAUUGUAUAAUUUAAAGUUAUUUUAAGCAACCUAAAUGGGACAGGCCUAUAUUCUCUUCCUGUGCUUGCAUGUUUCAGCAGAUAAUGGGGUACAUAUGAGGGUGAAAUACAAAUAUUCAAAGUAAUAUCAGCACUUGAAAUGAUUUUUUCGCUUUUGCAGAAAUGAAAUCUCACGUUACUGAAACUAGAUCUGAGUCUCACUUCUUUCCCAGCCUGGAACUCCUGGGUGCUGUGAGUCCUGGAUAUAUAAUAGAUGGUGACAACAUCUUUCUUUUAUGCAUGAAGGUAGAUGAUUCUUCAAAUUAAAGAUGGAAGCUGACUUCUCACCAGAAAUGGUUUGUAGAAUCAACUUACAAAAAUGUCAGAGGCAGCGAAGGAAAGAGUAAAAUAUUUCUUUCUAUCAGCCUUCGAUUCUUUGCUAGAUUGUAAACUUCAUGAAAGCAGAAUAACUUCCUUAUCCCUAAUGCCUGGCCCAGAAUAGAUACUCAAAAAAUAGUUGAAAUGAAUGGAAAUCUCCCUUGGUUUUUUUUUUUUCUUCCUUUUUUAAUCUCUGGAAAAUGGCAACCAUCGUAAUGGCAUUUCCACAAGACAUUUACAUGGAAUAACUAGGACUUAAAUUUUGAUUCUGAUGUAAAAUGUACAUGUAGGUACAUUAAACUAUCUUGGUAAUAAUAAGUCUACUUAAAACUCUUAAUAUUUGAGGCCAGCCCCUUGGCCAAGUGGUUAGGUUCUCAUGCUCCACUUCGGCAGCAUAGGGUUUUGCUACUUUGAAUCCCAGGUGCAGACCUAACACUGCUCAUCAAGCCAUGCUGAGGCAGCGUCCCACAUAGCACAACUACAAGGACCUACAACUAGAGUAUACAACUGUGUACUGGGGGGUCUUGGGGAGAAGAAGAAGAAAAAAGAUUGGCAACAGAUGUUAGCUUAGGUGUCAGUCUUAAAAAAAAAACCUCAAUAUUUGAUUAUGACUUGAUCUUUCAAGAGGCAAUGAAGAAUGACUGCCAAAACAACGUACGUACGUAAGGAAUAGAUAUAUAAAAGCUUACUGAUAUUUAAUAGGAAAUCUUUUAUUAUGAACAGUUUAUUUAUAGCUUUAUUGGAUAUUUAUCACUGACAGAAAUUGCACUUACCACUCAUGUACGGUUAAACAGUCAUUAUUUCUGCUUUAUAUUUAAUAUUGAAAUAUUCUUAAUUGUUUUGGCUAAAUUAAUACCUUGGGACUUGUUUUUGCCCUGUAUACUGUAUUUACAUCCAUGAGGGUAUAUUUAACAUGCAAAGGGUACCAAAUACUCAUUCAAAUAAUGGAAGUCUGGUACAUCUCACUGUGUUUUGGAAUGAGAUUUAAUACUCAUGCUCAUACCAGAAUCACACAAAUGGUAUGCAACUAUAAUCACUUCUGUUAGAGUAUGAAAUCUAUUUUUUAGAUUAAGAUCCUUCUAUUAAAACAAAUAGAAGUAUCAAAUUAGUUUUAGAGUAGAUGAUGCUAACAGUCUAAGAUUCAAAGAUAACGGAAUAAUUAUCUCAAACUCUUGGAGAAAUAUGGUAUGUAAAUACUCAUAAUAUACCUGAUAUUUACUUAGAAUAUCUAUGCAAGAUCAAAAUCAAACUUCAUGGUAAAAAUACCAGUUUUGAAAGGUGAAAGUAACCUGUAAUUAAAUGGUAUAAGUAAUUUAUAAGCACAAAUUGUGCUGACAGAGUUUAUCCAGACUCCUUACCAUAGAAAGAAUAGAUUAAGGAUCUAUAAGUGAAAAGCAAAAUUUAAACCUAUAGAAAAGCAAAGACUGUGACAUUGGAGUACAUAUAAGCACAAAAAGGAAAGUGAUAAAUUUGUGCACACUAAAAUGUUUGCAUACCUUGCACCUGACAAAGGACUCCAUAUGAAUCAAGAAAAUGAUCAAAGGAUAUGAACGGGCAAUUCAUAGAUGAGGAUCCCUGAGUAGUCAUUCAUAGGAAAAGAUGCUUAAUCUCACUAGUAAUCAAAGAAUUGCACAUUAAAACAACAUUGAUAUACAAUUUUACUGCCAUUAGAUGGGCAAAAAUGAAAACAACAUAAACCUCACACUUCCACACAUUGCUAAGUCUGGAGUGUUGGGCUCUCAUCAUUUCUGGUGUCACUGAAAUUUGCUGUUACUUUGGAGAAUGGUUUGGCAGCAUCUAGUUUAUUUGAAGAUGCUUAUACACUAACCCAAUCUCUGGGUAUUAUACUUUAUAGGAAUUCUUGGCAUGUGUACUCAAGGAGAUAUACAGAAAGUUCACUGUGGUAUUGUUUUUAAUUGUAAAAACCUGGAACCAAUGUCCAUUAGAAGGAUGGAUAAAUAAAUUGUGGUAUAUUUGUAGUAUUUGGCUGUUAAAAUGAAUUAACAUAAAGUAUGUAUUAACUUGAUUACAUCUCAAAAAUAAUGAUGACUUAAAAAUGACCAAGUGAUAUGUGCUGUGUGAUAAGAUUUAGCAGUUUUAGAACACGCAAAAGUGUUGUGUACACUUUUAAAAGUGUAAAAGCAUGCAUAAAUACCAAAAUCUGGUUUGUUUACCUUCAGAGGAGGAGGAGAAAGGUAGAUUGAGGUGUACACAGGGAAUGCUUCAAUUGUAUCUGCAGUGUUACUGCAUUAAAAAAUAGCAAAUGUGAGAAAGGUUUGGGUUUAUUAAAGCUGAGUGAUGGUGAUUCUCCACACAUUUUUGAUAUGCUUGAUAUUUGAUAAUAAAAGCCAAUAUUUUAAAAAG
ensembl:lncRNA